UCUUGAUGUAGAGGCGCGAUAAUGAUCAGUAACCAUCGUUGGGGUGAUACCAAUGAACGGUGGUGAAAGGCAUUGUCGCCGAAGUGAGAAAAGACCAUCAAUCUUCCUCGCUGGGGUUGUCUUCGAAAGGAACAACACUGCCAUAGUCUAUUAUAUUGUUAAACUAUGGAGCGCUACUGUAGGG
rnacentral:ncRNA from 2 species